AUGCAUUUUUAUGCCACAGAGAUAUAUGCUUUCAGCAGCAGGAGCUUCACUACUGGCUCCUUUUCCACUAACUACCGGUCCCUGGACUCCAUCCAGGUGCUCAGCUACGGAGCCCGGCCAAUCAGCAGCGUGGCCAAUGUCUAUGCAGACACCAGGGGCUCUGGUUCCUGCAUCUCUGUUUGCCACUCCACCAGCUUCCAGGGCGGCAUGGGGACCAGGGACCUGGCUGCGGGGAUGGCCGGGGUCUGGCAGGAAUGGGAGGCAUCCAAAACGAGAAGGAGACCAUGCAAAGCCUGAACGACAGCCUGGCCUCCUACCUGGACAGAGUGAGGAGCCUGCAGACCGAGAACCGGACACUGGAGAGCAAAAUCCAGGAGCACCUGGAGAAGAAAGGACCCCAGCUCAGAGACUGGAGCCAUUACUUCAAGACCAUUGAGGACCUGAGAGCUCAGAUUUUCUAAAAUACUGUGGUCAAUGCCCGCAUCGUUUUGCAGAUCAACAAUGCCCAUCUUGCUGCUGAUGACUUUAGAGUCAAGUAUAAGACACAGUUGGCCAUGCGCCAGUCUGUGAAGAGUGACAUCUGUGGGCUCCACAAGGUCAUUGAUGACACCAAUGUCAGUGGGCUGCAGCUUGAGAGAGAUUGGGGCUCUCAAGGAGGAGCUGCUCUUCAUGAAGAAUCACAAAGAGGAAGUAAAAGGCUUACAAGCCCAGGUUGCCAGCUCUGGGUUGACUGUGGAGGUAGAUGCCCCCAAAUCUCAGGACCUCGCCAAGAGCAUGGCAGACAUCUGGGUCCAAUAUGACGAGCUGGCUCAGAAGAACCGAGAGAAGCUGGACAAGUACUGGUCUCAGCAGAUUGAGGAGAGCACCACAGUGGCCACUAUGCAGUCUGCCAAGCUUGGAGCUACUGGUAUGAUGCUCACAGAGCUGAGACAUACAGUCCAGUCCUUGGAGAUCAACCUGGACUCCAUGAGAAAUCUGAAGGCCAGCUUGGAGAACAGCCUGAGGGAGGUGGAGGCCCACUACACCCUGCAGAUGGAGCAGCUCAACGGGAUCCUGCUGCACCUGGAGUCAGAGCUGGCACAGCCCCGGGCAGAGGGACAGUGCCAGGCCCAGGAGUAUGAGGCCCAGCUGACCAUUAAGGUCAAGCUGGAUACUGAGAUCGCCACCUGCUGGAAGAUGACUAGGACUUCAAUCUUGGUGAUGCACUGGACAGCAGCAACUCCAUACAAACCAUCCAAAAGACCACCACCUGCUGGAUAAUGGAUAGCAAAGUAGUAUCUGAGACCAACAACACCAAAGUUCUGAGACAUUAA